rnacentral:snRNA from 1 species
AGAUGUAAGGGCACCUGUUACCCCACUGAUCUUCAGGGUUGAUUUGGCUGAUCUGGCUGGCUAGGUAGGUGUCACUUACCCACCCCACCCCCACCCCUGGAUUGUUCCACGUGCACCCCUCCCAAAACAGUGCACUCAUUCAGAGACAGUGACCUUCACCAAAGCUAUAGAGUAACUAUGCUCCCCUGCUAGAAACUCCAAACAAGCUCCAUUUAAUCCUUCAUUCUCAAACCAACUCAUAAACACAGUGUCUCAGGAAGAAGGGUUAAAGGCUAUACAUCCCUUUUUUCCCCUUGAUGGAGACAAGG